CCUUUCACACUUUUUCUUACAUCUUGCACACUCUUGCCUCUACCUCCACCAUAUGUCUCUCUCCUAUUGGUUGGUCAACAUCUAACUCAUGGCCCUAAAAUCCUAUUUACCAUGAAUUGCGUAUUAUACCCUCAAUUUAUUCAUCAGAAAUGACCUAAGCUCCCUCAAACCCUAUAUCAGACUAAGACUUUGCCUUUCACUGACUAAAGUAUCGCUUCUUCUCCUCUUUUCUCUGUCCCUCAAUGUCUUUUCACUCUUUUCAAGUAAAUUUUUAGUGGUCUUUCACCAUGACCAGAGAUUAGGUACCCUAUUUUCAUGUUAUGGUCCUUUCAAUCACGUGAAUCCCUCAAGCUCUAUCCCAAAUGUUCAAAUUUGAAUGAGUUUUUGAGCAUGAAUUCAAAAAUAAAAGGUGAAAUCUCACACAAAAUAAGAGUUUUUGAAUCCCUAGUUGUUUUUCUAUAAAUACUAACAUUUAAACUCAUUUUGGGGGAGGUUUUUCAGCCGCUCCUCCCUCAAACUUUCUGAAAUAUACCUUGUUUCUUACUUGGCUAUUAAAAUACAAGUUUUUGUUUUUCGCCACUCUUGUACUCUGACCAUGUUUUCUACUCGCUAAGGAAUUCAUCCAAAAGCUACUGCUUAUUUACUCUUAUUUCUCCUUGUCUUUGAGAAAAAAAAGAAAAUUUCUUCUUGUUUGCUCCUGGUACCAGCCAAGUUUUAGAAUCUUAGCAUAUUCAAGCUUGGGUGCGUUGAAGUUGGGUGUAGAUCCUUGAUCGACGACUCAGCUUCACUGCUCCAUAAAAGCCUUUAUAAAAGACUCUCACCGCGCAAGUAGGUUCAUUUCGGGACUUAUUGCUGGAAUCUUGAAGUUUUGAUGAAUGACAAUAUGAAUGAAAUAAGUUGAUAUGAUUUAAUUCAAUGCAACUGGAAACUUCAACUUACUGAUCACAUGGGGAAUAGAACAAGUUGAAUUUAAUUCAAACACUUGAUGAUAAGGGAAAGUAAGUUGAGUUGAAAAAAGAUUCCUACAUAAAAAAAGAGUUUCACUUCUGAGUAUAUCUUGAAGAGUCUUAUGUGUGGGAGGAGAAAGAUUUUGAUAAAUUAAUAUAUGCUGAUUUAAAGAAUUGGAAUUUGACUACAACACCAAGGAGACAAGAGUUAGAAUUGAAGAAGGAGUCCCACUUGAAAUAAAACUCUAUGCAAUGAGAGUUUUGAUUAGAGGAGGAGUUUGAAAUAAAGAAAGACUCUUUGGAGAGUUGUGCUUAAAUAGAAGAUGCAGCAGUCAGAAUAAUUUACGCACUUAAAAAGAAGAAAAGCAUAAUCGACAGAUUGACUUUACGAAGUGCUACUCAAUCACUGAAGAAACACGUUGACGAACCUGAUCCUCAGUACAGAAUCCAGCUAUGAGUUUUAGCGUUGAUUUUUAGAGUUGUUCAUUGUGUUUGAACUAUUGAUAAAAUAUUAGUUUUAGUGUAUUAUAAACUGAACUAGGAGCUAGUCUUCGAGUUGGGGAAACUCAGAGACUUUGGAAACGCAUACCUUGGGAGGUGUGUGUGUGGUUAGGAAUUAGAUUUUAUAAUUUCUAGUUGUUGAGUUAUAGGGAUUAGAGUUUAUAACUCCUAUUUGUUGGUUACAAGAGUUUUGUAAUCAAUCAUUGUUGAGGCUCAGAGUUAUUUACUGAAUUUGGGGUUAAAUCCA